rnacentral:rRNA from 1 species
UACAGAGGGUGCAAGCGUUAAUCGGAGUUACUGGGCGUAAAGGGCGCGUAGGCGGUUAUUUAAGUGAGAUGUGAAAGCCCUGGGCUUAACCUAGGAACUGCAUCUUAUACUGAGUAGCUAGAGUAUUGUAGAGGGUAGUGGAAUUUCCGGUGUAGCGGUGAAAUGCGUAGGGAUCGGAAGGAACAUCAGUGGCGAAGGCGACUGUCUGGACAGAUACUGACGCUGAGGCGCGAAAGCGUGGGGAGCAAACAGG